AUUGAACGCUGGCGGCAUGCUUUACACAUGCAAGUCGAACGGUAACAGGUUAAGCUGACGAGUGGCGAACGGGUGAGUAAUGCAUCGGAACGUGCCCAGUCGUGGGGGAUAACGCAGCGAAAGCUGUGCUAAUACCGCAUACGAUCUAUGGAUGAAAGCGGGGGACCGUAAGGCCUCGCGCGAUUGGAGCGGCCGAUGUCAGAUUAGCUAGUUGGUGGGGUAAAGGCCCACCAAGGCGACGAUCUGUAGCUGGUCUGAGAGGACGACCAGCCACACUGGGACUGAGACACGGCCCAGACUCCUACGGGAGGCAGCAGUGGGGAAUUUUGGACAAUGGGCGCAAGCCUGAUCCAGCAAUGCCGCGUGCAGGAAGAAGGCCUUCGGGUUGUAAACUGCUUUUGUACGGAACGAAACGGUCUGGGUUAAUACCCUGGGCUAAUGACGGUACCGUAAGAAUAAGCACCGGCUAACUACGUG
rnacentral:rRNA from 1 species